rnacentral:rRNA from 1 species
AUUGAACGCUGGCGGCAGGCCUAACACAUGCAAGUCGAACGAGAGGCGGACGGGUGAGUAAUGUCUGGGAAAGUGCCUGAUGGAGGGGGAUAACUACUGGAAACGGUAGCUAAUACCGCAUACCAACAGAUGGGCCCAGAGGGGGUUGGCUUGUUGGGGGGGUAACGGCUAACCAAGGCGACGAUCCCUAGCAGGUCUGAGAGGCUGACCAGCCACACUGGAACUGAGACACGGUCCAGACUCCUACGGGAGGCAGCAGUGGGGAAUCUUGCACAAUGGGCGAAAGCCUGAUGCAGCCAUGCCGCGUGAAUGAAGAAGGCUUUCGGGUUGUAAAAUACUUUCGGCAGGGAGGCGUUACCCAAAGAGGAAGCACCGGCUAACUCCGUGCCAGCAGCCGCGGUAAUUC